AUAGACAUGCAAGUCGAACGGAGAAUGAGAAUAGCUUGCUAAUUUCAUUCUUAGUGGCGGACGGGUUAGUAACACGUGAGAUACAUACCCUUUAGACAGGAAUAGCCCAUGGAAACGUGGAUUAAUGCCUGAUAGUUCCUACGGGAUAAAGGAUGCCUUCGGGUGUCGCUAAAGGAUUGGCUCGCGGCCUAUCAGUUAGUUGGUGAGGUAAAGGCUCACCAAGACGACGACGGGUAGCUGGUCUGAGAGGACGAUCAGCAACACUGGAACUGAGACACGGCCCAGACACCUACGGGUGGCAGCAGUCGAGAAUCAUUCACAAUGGAGGCAACUCUGAUGGUGCAACGCCGCGUGGAGGAUGACGGUCCUAGGAUUGUAAACUCCUGUCAUUGGGGAGUAAGGCUUAAGCGUUAAUAGCGUGUUAAGUUUGAUAGUACCCAAAGAGGAAGGGACGGCUAACUUCGUGCCAGCAGCCGCGGUAAUACGAAGGUCCCAAGCGUUGUUCGGAAUAACUGGGCGUAAAGCGUGUGUAGGCUGCGCGGAAAGUCAAAUGUGAAAGCCAAGGGCUCAACCCUUGAACUGCAUUCGAUACUCCCGUGCUAGAGUAAUGGAGAGGUAAGUGGAAUUUUCGGUGUAGCAGUGAAAUGCGUAGAUAUCGAGAGGAACAUCAAUGGCGAAGGCAACUUACUGGACAUUUACUGACGCUCAGACACGAAGGCUAGGGGAGCGAAAGGGAUUAGAUACCCCUGUAGUCCUAGCAGUAAACGGUGCUCGCUUGGUGUGGGAGGAUUCGACCCCUUCUGUGCCGGAGCUAACGCGUUAAGCGAGCCGCCUGGGAAGUACGGUCGCAAGACUAAAACUCAAAGAAAUUGACGGGGACCCGCACAAGCGGUGGAGUAUGUGGCUUAAUUCGAUGCAACGCGAAGAACCUUACCUAGGCUUGACAUGCUUGUCGUACCUUCCCGAAAAGGAAGGGUCACUUCGGGUGGACAAUGCACAGGUGCUGCAUGGCCGUCGUCAGCUCG
rnacentral:rRNA from 1 species